rnacentral:siRNA from 1 species
CCUCGUGAAAGCACUCGACCCC